rnacentral:rRNA from 1 species
UACGGAGGGAGCUAGCGUUGUUCGGAUUUACUGGGCGUAAAGCGCACGUAGGCGGCAUAGUAAGUCAGGGGUGAAAUCCCGGGGCUCAACCCCGGAACUGCCCUUGAAACUGCUAAGCUUGAAUCUUGGAGAGGCGAGUGGAAUUCCGAGUGUAGAGGUGAAAUUCGUAGAUAUUCGGAAGAACACCAGUGGCGAAGGCGACUCGCUGGACAAGUAUUGACGCUGAGGUGCGAAAGCGUGGGGAGCAAACAGG